UACGUAGGGGGCAAGCGUUGUCCGGAAUCAUUGGGCGUAAAGGGUGCGUAGGCGGCGCGGUAAGUCGGGUGUGAAAUCUCGGAGCUUAACUCCGAAACUGCAUUCGAUACUGCCGUGCUUGAGGACUGGAGAGGAGACUGGAAUUUACGGUGUAGCGGUGAAAUGCGUAGAUAUCGAGAGGAACACCUGCGGCGAAGGCGGGUUGCUGGGCUGACACUGACGCUGAGGCGCGAAAGCUAGGGGAGCGAACGGG
rnacentral:rRNA from 1 species